GUCUUCUCGGUAAUGUUUGAGAAGUCGGACCUGCCCGGUGAAUAUUAUUUUUAACGGCCGCGGUAUAUUGACUGUGCAAAGGUAGCAUAAUCAUUAGUUCUUUAAUAGGGAACUGGUAUGAAUGGUUUGACGAAAUAUUAACUGUCUCGGUUUAAUUUAUAUAAUUUAUCUUUUUGGUUAAAAGACCUAAAUUUAUUUGGAAGACGAGAAGACCCUAUAGAGCUUUAUAUACUUUUAUAAUUUAAUUUAAUAAUUAGUUUUGUUUUAAAUGUUUAUUUUGUUGGGGUGACGAUUAAAUAUAUUUAACUUUAUUAUAAAUAUUACAUUUAUUUAUGGUUUAUUAGAUCCUUUAUUAUUGAUUAUUAGGAUAAGUUACCUUAGGGAUAACAGCGUUAUUUUCUUUUAGAGUUCAAAUUUACAAGAAAGAUUGCGACCUCGAUGUUGGAUUAAGAUAAUAGUUGGGUGCAGUUGCUUAACUAAUAGGUCUGUUCGACCUUUAAUUUCUUACAUGAUCUGAGUUCAAACCGG
rnacentral:rRNA from 1 species